rnacentral:rRNA from 1 species
CAACUUUUAACAACGGAUCUCUUGGUUCUCGCAUCGAUGAAGAACGUAGCAAAGUGCGAUAACUAGUGUGAAUUGCAUAUUCAGUGAAUCAUCGAGUCUUUGAACGCAUCUUGCAUCUGCUGGUAUUCCAGCAGGUACGCCUGUUUCAGUAU